UACGUAGGAGGCGAGCGUUGUCCGGAAUUACUGGGCGUAAAGCGCGCGUAGGCGGCCUUGCAAGUUAGAGGUGAAAGCCCGGAGCUCAACUCCGGAACUGCCUUUAAAACUGCAUAGCUUGAAUCCGGGAGAGGUGAGUGGAAUUCCGAGUGUAGAGGUGAAAUUCGUAGAUAUUCGGAAGAACACCAGUGGCGAAGGCGGCUCACUGGACCGGUAUUGACGCUGAGGUGCGAAAGCGUGGGGGAGCAAACAGG
rnacentral:rRNA from 1 species